rnacentral:rRNA from 1 species
UACGGGGGGGGCAAGCGUUGUUCGGAAUUACUGGGCGUAAAGGGCUCGUAGGCGGCCAACUAAGUCGGACGUGAAAUGCCUCGGCUCACCCGAGGCACUGCAUUCCAAACUGCUUGGCUUGAGUAUGGGAGAGGAUGAGGGAAUUCCUGGUGUAGCGGUGAAAUGCGUAGAUAUCAGGAGGAACACCGGUGGCGAAGGCGCUCAUCUGGCCCAAUACUGACGCUGAGGCGCGAAAGCUAGGGGAGCAAACGGG